rnacentral:rRNA from 1 species
AACGAACGCUGGCGGCAGGCUUAACACAUGCAAGUCGAGCGCCCCGCAAGGGGAGCGGCAGACGGGUGAGUAACGCGUGGGAACGUACCCUUUGCUACGGAAUAGCUCCGGGAAACUGGAAUUGAUACCGUAUGUGCCCUACGGGGGAAAGAUUUAUCGGCAAAGGAUCGGCCCGCGUUGGAUUAGCUAGUUGGUGGGGUAAUGGCCUACCAAGGCGACGAUCCAUAGCUGGUCUGAGAGGAUGAUCAGCCACAUUGGGACUGAGACACGGCCCAAACUCCGACGGGAGGCAGCAGUGGGGAAUAUUGGACAAUGGGCGCAAGCCUGAUCCAGCCAUGCCGCGUGAGUGAUGAAGGCCUUAGGGUUGUAAAGCUCUUUCACCGGAGAAGAUAAUGACGGUAUCCGGAGAAGAAGCCCCGGCUAACUUCGUGCCAGCCGCCGCCGUAAGAC